AACAGUUCAACUUCCUAAGCAAUCACUUUUUUCAUUCUCAUGUUCCUCCACUAAAAAAUCUUAAUUGAGGCAUUUUUUGGGAAUUGUUGCUCAACCAUGCCAAGCAAUAUCGAGACUUGGGAAAUGUAUAUCAUGCUGUAAUCUUGGUUUUCAAAAUGUAGGGAUUAUCCUAGCAUGCCUAUUCACUGGUCUUACAGCAGAUAUGAUCGAGAUUGUCUUCCAUGAGGAUUCAC
rnacentral:lncRNA from 1 species